rnacentral:rRNA from 1 species
UACGGAGGGUGCAAGCGUUGUCCGGAAUUAUUGGGCGUAAAGGGUUCGCAGGCGGCCCGUUAAGUCAGAUGUGAAAGAUCACGGCUCAACCGUGGUAAGCAUUUGAAACUGACAGGCUUGAGUUAAGGAGAGGAAAGUGGAAUUCCUAGUGUAGCGGUGAAAUGCGUAGAUAUUAGGAGGAAUACCAGUGGCGAAGGCGACUUUCUGGACUUAUACUGACGCUGAGGAACGAAAGCGUGGGGAGCAAACAGG